rnacentral:lncRNA from 1 species
CCUAGCUAUCUUCCGUGCGGCCUUAGUCACAAUCCGCCCCUGCGAUGUGCUAAGUCAGCCUUUCCCCGAAAUAUUGCCACAACAAAGCUAAGAGAAGUAAAGAGAAGCUAAGAAGAGAAGCUUGCAAGAAUGUUUUGUAUUAAACUAGAGAAUGCUUUAUACAAGUGUUGGAUUGCUUGAAUGUUUCUUGGAUGCAAAUGCCAAAUGCCUCUAGCCUAUUUAUAGUUGCU